rnacentral:rRNA from 1 species
CCUACGGGAGGCAGCAGUGGGGAAUAUUGCACAAUGGGGGAAACCCUGAUGCAGCAACGCCGCGUGAAGGAAGAAGGCCUUUGGGUCGUAAACUUCUGUUCUGAGGGAAGAAGAAAGUGACGGUACCUCAGGAGAAAGCCCCGGCUAACUACGUGCCAGCAGCCGCGGUAAUACGUAGGGGGCAAGCGUUGUCCGGAAUUAUUGGGCGUAAAGAGUACGUAGGCGGUUUGCUAAGCGCAAGGUGAAAGGCAGUGGCUUAACCAUUGUAAGCCUUGCGAACUGACAGACUUGAGUGCAGGAGAGGAAAGCGGAAUUCCUAGUGUAGCGGUGAAAUGCGUAGAUAUUAGGAGGAACACCGGUGGCGAAGGCGGCUUUCUGGACUGUAACUGACGCUGAGGUACGAAAGCGUGGGGAGCAAACAGGA